rnacentral:rRNA from 1 species
UCGGCCAGCCACAGCUCCAAGAAUACGCGGAGGAGGUGGCCAGGGUCGGCGUCGGCGCCGUCCGGCGCGGGCCAUGGGCCCGCUUCCAAGUGCGUCUGCACGCCGGCCACCCACGCCGAGUCCUUCAAGUGCCGCUUCCACCGCACCAACUCCCAGGGCCACGGCCACGGCCAGGGCCAGGGAAGCCGCCCUUCUUCGCCCCCUUCACCGGCCGCGGCCAACGCGGUGCCGCGACACCCGACCUCGCCGUCCUCGUCCUCCGGCACCGUCGCGACCCAGUGA